AUGCUAAUACCCCAUAUGCUUUCGAGUGAAAUGGAUUUUUAUCCGCCUAGAGAGAAGCUCGCGGCUGAUUAGCUUGUUGGUAAGGUAAGAGCUUACCAAGGCGACGAUCAGUAUCUGGUUUGAGAGGACGAUCAGACACACUGGAACUGAGACACGGUCCAGACUCCUACGGGAGGCAGCAGUGGGAAUUUUCCGCAAUGGGCGAAAGCCUGACGGAGCAAUACCGCGUGAGGGAAGAAUGCCUAUGGGUUGUAAACCUCUUUUUCAGGGAGGAAUCAAAUGACGUGUACCUGAAGAAUAAGCAUCGGCUAACUCCGUG
rnacentral:rRNA from 1 species